UAAUUCUGGUUGAGUCAAGCCUGGAGAUUGUUGGAAGAAUUGUGUCGAGAAAGCCCAAGGAUGUGUGGGCAGUUCGUCUCAGCAUUGGAACCUAUCUUAUAGAUGGCAAAUACUUCAAGCCCUUGGAGCUUCAAGAAUGAAACUUGUACUGUUUUCAAUUCAAAGCUUAACGUCAAUGAAAGUAUGCAAAUUUCAAUUCAAUUUGAAAAAUUGAAUAAAAUCAAAACUGUUUUUAAUGGGUUUAA